UGCCAGAGAUGCUUUAGAAAAGAAAUACCACCCCUCGACAACUGGUUCUACCAAGAUUCGAGGAUGAGGUGGCAGUCUUAUACACUAUGGUAAGCCUGUAAUUAAAUAGUAUAAGCAAUGUUUAAUUAUAUUACUAGCCUUAGAUGAAAAUUAGUUGCCUAUAGUGCUACCCCUUUCGGAGUAAUUGAAAGAUCGCUUUGACGAGCCCAGUGUGGAAGAGCCGUCUGGAGUGCCUGUAGUGUUAUAAUUAGUAAUUGUAGAUAGGUGUAGUUUUGAUAGGGAUACAC
rfam:BtMf-AlphaCoV/GD2012, complete genome.